UUCACCUGCUGCAAGCCCUGUUAGCACACCUCCCACCGGGGUGACAACGCAAGAAGAAGCUGAAGAAAUAAUAUCCUCUCUGGCUGAAGAUGGUGGUGGUAACAGCUCGUCAGAGGCCGGUCACGAUCCUAACCCCUCUUGCUCAUCUCCCCCGUUAAAUUGGAACAGCCAUCAGUGGAGAGACUGGAAGAGCUCAUAUAGGUCUA